GGCUGGCUCCUUACUGUCUCUCCCACAGGACGCCGCUGUGAGUCGGUCAUUAAUGGCUGCAGGGGCAAACCAUGCAGGAAUGGAGGUGUCUGUGCUGUGGCCUCCAACACCGCCCGUGGAUUCAUCUGUAGGUGCCCUGCGGGCUUCGAGGGUGCCACUUGUGAAAAUGACGCCCGCACUUGUGGCAGUUUGCGCUGCCUCAACGGUGGUACGUGCAUCUCAGGCCCACGCAGUCCCACCUGCCUAUGCCUGGGCUCCUUCACUGGCCCUGAAUGCCAGUUCCCAGCCAGCAGCCCCUGUGUGGGUAGCAACCCCUGCUACAAUCAGGGCACCUGUGAGCCCACAUCCGAGAGCCCUUUCUACCGCUGUCUAUGCCCUGCCAAAUUCAACGGGCUGCUGUGCCACAUCCUGGACUACAGCUUCACAGGUGGCGCCGGGCGCGACAUUCCCCCGCCACAGAUUGAGGAGGCCUGCGAACUGCCUGAGUGCCAGGAGGAUGCAGGCAAUAAGGUCUGCAACCUUCAGUGUAAUAAUCACGCGUGUGGCUGGGACGGCGGCGACUGCUCCCUCAACUUCAAUGACCCUUGGAAGAACUGCACUCAGUCCCUGCAGUGCUGGAAGUAUUUUAGUGA
rnacentral:lncRNA from 1 species